UACGUAGGGGGCGAGCGUUGUCCGGAAUUAUUGGGCGUAAAGAGCGUGUAGGCGGCCUUACAGGUCAGCUGUGAAAACUCGAGGCUCAACCUCGAGAGGUCGGUUGAAACCGUAAGGCUAGAGUCCGGAAGAGGAGAGUGGAAUUCCCGGUGUAGCGGUGAAAUGACGUAGAUAUCGGGAGGAACACCAGUGGCGAAGGCGGCUUCUGGCCCGUUCUUGACGCUGAGGCGCGAAAGCUAAGGGUAGCAAACGGG
rnacentral:rRNA from 1 species